UACGAAGGACCCGAGCGUUAUCCGGAUUUAUUGGGUUUAAAGGGUGCGUAGGCGGAUUAAUAAGUCAGUGGUGAAAGCCCAUCGCUUAACGAUGGAAUUGCCAUUGAUACUGUUAGUCUUGAGUAUGGUUGAGGUGGGCGGAAUGUGUCAUGUAGCGGUGAAAUGCUUAGAUAUGACACAGAACACCAAUUGCGAAGGCAGCUCGCUAAACCAUAACUGACGCUGAGGCACGAAAGCGUGGGGAGCAAACAGG
rnacentral:rRNA from 1 species